UACGUAGGGGGCUAGCGUUGCUCGGAAUUACUGGGCGUAAAGCGCACGUAGGCGGUUUGUUAAGUCGGGGGUGAAAUCCUGGAGCUCAACUCCAGAACUGCCUUCGAUACUGGCGAUCUCGAGUCCGGGAGAGGUGAGUGGAACUGCGAGUGUAGAGGUGAAAUUCGUAGAUAUUCGCAAGAACACCAGUGGCGAAGGCGGCUCACUGGCCCGAUACUGACGCUGAGGCACGAAAGCGUGGGGAGCAAACAGG
rnacentral:rRNA from 1 species